GAAUUGUUUCAUAAAUCUCCCAUGCCUACAAGGGAACCUGAGAUAGAGAAUAUUAAUCUCCACAGUCUCUAUAGGAGAAGAAAAAGUCACCAUGAAAGCAUGUUUUGAAAGCAGUACCCUGCAGAGUCACAAAAACCAGUAGCAGGCUAUGCAGAAUGAGAUUAUAAUGACUCCAUACAAUGUAAGCAAGUGAGAUUAAUAAUAGCAUCCAUCCUCAUAAGCAUGCCACUAAGACAGAAGAUGACAGCAGAAGCAAGAGACGAAAGAACACGAUGCACAAAUCACUCUGACUUAGAAGACUUAAGGAAAUAUAAAAAGAAACUGAAAACACAACUAACAGUAGUUUUAGAAGAUGUAACACGGAUGGAUUUGCUAUCCGUAGAGCAUGCAGCGUGGCAUGACUCCUAACAUAAUGCAUCUUGGGGACAUCUGAGAAAGAUAUUAGAGGAAAAAAAGGUAGAUAUUAGUCCUUAGAUCACUGAUUGGGUAAAAGUUCUCAUUCGGAUGUAUACUGACCAAAUAACUCAAUAAAUCAAAGAAAAUACAAAAGUUCA